UGUCGACGGUAACAUUGAUGCUUGCAUCAGAUGACGAGUGGCGCACGGGUGAGUAACGCGUAUACAAUCUACCUUUUACAGGGGGAUAGCCUUUAGAAAUGAAGAUUAAUAUCCCAUAGUAAGUAGUUUUGGCAUCAAGACAACUUUAAAGUUUCGGCGGUAAAAGAUGAGUAUGCGUUCUAUUAGUUAGUUGGUAAGGUAACGGCUUACCAAGACCACGAUAGAUAGGGGCCCUGAGAGGGGGAUCCCCCACACUGGUACUGAGACACGGACCAGACUCCUACGGGAGGCAGCAGUGAGGAAUAUUGGACAAUGGGCGCGAGCCUGAUCCAGCCAUGCCGCGUGCAGGAAGACUGCCCUAUGGGUUGUAAACUGCUUUUAUACAGGAAGAAACCUUUUCACGUGUGAAAAGCUGACGGUACUGUAAGAAUAAGGAUCGGCUAACUCCGUGCCAGCAGCCGCGGUAAUACGGAGGAUCCAAGCGUUAUCCGGAAUCAUUGGGUUUAAAGGGUCCGUAGGUGGAUAAUUAAGUCAGGGGUGAAAGUUUGCAGCUCAACUGUAAAAUUGCCUUUGAUACUGGUUAUCUUGAAUUAUUGUGAAGUGGUUAGAAUAUGUAGUGUAGCGGUGAAAUGCAUAGAUAUUACAUAGAAUAUCAAUUGCGAAAGGCAGAUCACUAA
rnacentral:rRNA from 2 species